rnacentral:rRNA from 1 species
GAUGAACGCUGGCGGCGUGCUUAACACAUGCAAGUCGAACGAAGCACUUUAUUACGAUUUCUUCGGAUUGAAGUUGUUUAUGACUGAGUGGCGGACGGGUGAGUAACGCGUGGGUAACCUGCCUUGUACUGGGGGAUAGCAGCUGGAAACGGCUGGUAAUACCGCAUAAGCGCACAAUGUUGCAUGACAUAGUGUGAAAAACUCCGGUGGUAUAAGAUGGACCCGCGUCUGAUUAGCUAGUUGGUGAGAUAACAGCCCACCAAGGCGACGAUCAGUAGCCGACCUGAGAGGGUGACCGGCCACAUUGGGACUGAGACACGGCCCAGACUCCUACGGGAGGCAGCAGUGGGGAAUAUUGCACAAUGGAGGAAACUCUGAUGCAGCGACGCCGCGUGAGUGAAGAAGUAAUUCGUUAUGUAAAGCUCUAUCAGCAGGGAAGAUAGUGACGGUACCUGACUAAG